rnacentral:rRNA from 1 species
UACGUAGGUCCCGAGCGUUGUCCGGAUUUAUUGGGCGUAAAGCGAGCGCAGGUGGUUUAUUAAGUCUGGUGUAAAAGGCAGUGGCUCAACCAUUGUAUGCAUUGGAAACUGGUAGACUUGAGUGCAGGAGAGGAGAGUGGAAUUCCAUGUGUAGUGGUGGAAUGCGUAGAUAUUAGGAGGAACAUCAGUGGCGAAGGCGACUUUCUGGACUGUAACUGACGCUGAGGCACGAAAGUGUGGGGAGCAAACAGG